GCACCACCCAAAAGUGGUAUACUUGCUUCAGUGUGCCCAACCAAUUCUACAACUAAAUGUAAGUGAAUAUCACUUAUGAAAUACAUGCUCAAAGCAGCAAUCACAUGUAUUUGUGAGCUGAUUUAGAGAUCAAUGUCUUUUUUGCACCUGAAGUCAAGUAAGAUGAC
rnacentral:misc_RNA from 1 species